GGAGAGCUCACCAUGGCCCUCUCUCAGUUCAUCCUUGCUGUUUUCCUUUUCUGCUCAGGUAAGGCUGUGGAGAUGAUCUCUUGUUACAGAGGCCAAGUCAAAGAUAUCAGAAUAUAUCCUAGAAGCAUAGUGCUUUAUGGAUAUUUGAGAAUGCUGAAGAUGAAUCUAGGUCCUCAUCUUUGUUUUUUCUGUUGUUGCUUCCCACUGCAAAGGUGUCUCUUCACAAUCGGCUUGGACACAGCCUGCCUCUGAAUCUGUGACCCUGGGACAAACGGUGAAACUCCCCUGUACUACUCGUGAAAGCGGUGUCAACUACAUACAUUGGUAUCAACAGAGACCAGGACAUGCCCCUCGCUAUGUCCACUGUGAGAGUUGCAGCAGGGGAGAAGGGAUCCCAGAUCGGUUCACUGCUUCCCGCUCUGGGAUCAUGGGCUAUUUAACCAUCAGCAACCUCCAGGCUGGAGACGAGGCAGUUUAUUACUGUAGCAGAUGGUAUAGCAGUGCUAGUGAGUUC